rnacentral:rRNA from 1 species
UACGGAGGGGGCUAGCGUUGUUCGGAAUUACUGGGCGUAAAGCGCGUGUAGGCGGAUCCAUAAGUCGGGCGUGAAAGCCCCAGGCUCAACCUGGGGACUGCGUUCGAAACUGUGGGUCUUGAGUGUCGGAGAGGAUGGCGGAAUUCCUGGUGUAGAGGUGAAAUUCGUAGAUAUCAGGAGGAACACCGGUGGCGAAGGCGGCCAUCUGGACGACAACUGACGCUGAGACGCGAAAGCGUGGGGAGCAAACAGG